AUUACUAUUGCUAUUAUUAUUAUUUAAAAAGAUAAUUUUUAAAAUUUUUUCUACGUUGUUAGGUUUAUCAAUAACUUCUGCUGAUGAGAUGCAGCAACAGAAGGAGAAGAUAGAAAUUAAAAGGAGAAAGAAAAUAUGCAGCAUCAGAGGGUGUAUUAACGAAAACAGCAGGAUGUUCUUCUUCCCCCAAGAGAGAAAGGAUAAGAAGAGGAUGGCACAGUAGGUGGAAGUAUGUGACAACCCAAAGUCUGUGCUUCCACCUGAAAACUGAAAUUCCAGGUGGUCUGUAGCAGCUACUUUAAAGAAAAAUACUUCAUGAGGAAAAGAUUAACAUCAGCAGUUCCAACACUGAACUUAUUUGAGGCUGUAAUAAAUAUUGCAUAUCAGAGGCUGCCUCUAU